AUUGAACGCUGGCGGCAGGCCUAACACAUGCAAGUCGAGCGGAUGAAGGGAGCUUGCUCCUGGAUUCAGCGGCGGACGGGUGAGUAAUGCCUAGGAAUCUGCCUGGUAGUGGGGGAUAACGUCUUGAAACGGGCGCUAAUACCGCAUACGUCCUGAGGGAGAAAGUGGGGGAUCUUCGGACCUCACGCUAUCAGAUGAGCCUAGGUCGGAGUAGCUAGUUGGUGGGCUAAAGGCCUACCAAGGCGACGAUCCGUAACUGGUCUGAGAGGAUGAUCAGUCACACUGGAACUGAGACACGGUCCAGACUCCUACGGGAGGCAGCAGUGGGGAAUAUUGGACAAUGGGCGAAAGCCUGAUCCAGCCAUGCCGCGUGUGUGAAGAAGGUCUUCGGAUUGUAAAGCACUUUAAGUUGGGAGGAAGGGCAGUAAGUUAAUACCUUGCUGUUUUGACGUUACCAACAGAAUAAGCACCGGCUAACUUCGUG
rnacentral:rRNA from 1 species